rnacentral:lncRNA from 1 species
CUUUUUUUACUAAAGAGAACAUAUGGUCGAGCGCCUAUGAGCGAGCCCAGAAUGGCUGAGAUACAAAUCCUAGUAUGGCCGAGCGCCUAUGAGCGAGCGUACUACGGCAGAGCAGUUACACGUACCGAGCCUUAUAGGGCCAGACAGUUAUUUUACUUACUAUAUUGAGAGAGUUUAGUCAGUAUCAUCAGUUAAGCAUAUCUUCAGAUUCUCUUUGACUCCUAGUUACUUUCAUUUAUUAUAUUAUUAAUUCAGCUUCAUCUUUCAGUUAUUCUAUUGUCUUACAUAAUCAGUACAUUAUUUUGUACUGACUUUCCUUUGUCGGGGACAAUGCAUUUCAUGCAUGCAUGUCUUGAUAGAUAGCUGGAUAUACCUCCCCAGUAGACAGAGUCAAACAUCAACUUGGUUGGUAAGCUGCACUUCCUCGGAGUUACCAGGUCUACACCUUGGAGUCCAUUUUAUAGAUACAGGUUUGAGAGGUAGGUCAAGGCCCUAUCCCGUCCAUGAUACAGUUCAGUUAUCUCUAGAGGCAUAUAGACGGGUCUAAGAUAUUUUGUAUAUCAAUAUUGCAGCAUUGCCAGCCCUGUGUACAUGUUCAGUUUGGUAUGGCAGGUUAUAGAUGUUCAUGGCGGCCUCGUCGGCCUACACAGUUAUGUAUAUGAGCUUUUGGGUAUGUUUACCCCUCAGAUAAGAGAGACUUUAUUUUUAGAUGAUUUAGAAUAUGGCCUCGCUAGUCUUGAUUGAUAUUGUCAGCUUGCCGGUAGGCCUCGUUGGCCUAAGUUGAGGGCUACCCCUCAAGAGUUCACAGUUAUACAGUGGUAUGCUCAGGCCUAGUAUGGCACCAGGUGCCGGCUACGCCUCCCCAGGUUUGGGGAUAAUUCGAUAUGGUGCAGUAGAAAUGGGUUGAGUGUCCAGAACCAGAUCAAUGAAGAAGUUGAUAUCUCUGUUGGGUGGCAUCCCCGUCAAAUCUGUAGGAAACACCUUUGGGAGCUCGUGCACAAAUGGUACUGAAUCCAUGGAAGGAAUGCCGCACUAGGAUCACGGAUAUAGACCAAAUAUGCUAAAAACCUCUUCUCGACCAUAUGCUGAGCCUUCACAUAAGAAAUAACCCUCCUAGUAGAAUGGCUAGGAGUCCCCCUCUACUCUAAUCAGCGCAACCACGGCAUGGCUAAGGUCACCGUCUUGGUGUGAUAGUCCAAAAUAUCAUGAGAAGAUGACAGCUAAUUCAUGCCCAAGAUAACAUCAAAGUCCACCAUAUCAAGAAGUAGAAGGUCUACCCUAAUCCCAAAACUCCUGAUAGAAACCACACACAAGCGAUAAACAUGAUAUACCACAAUAGAAUAUCCCACAUGUGUGUACACAUAAACAGGAGCACUUAAGGAAUCCCGAGGCAUAACCAGAUAUGAAGCAAAAUAGGAUGACACUUAUGAAUAAGUAGAGCCUGGAUCAAAUAAAACUGAGGCAUAUCUAUGGCAAAUCGUAACAAUAUAUAUGAUAAUGGCAUCAGAUGACUCUACCUCAGAUCUUGCUGGGAAUGCAUAAAAAUAGGGUUGGGCCCCACCACUCUGACCUUCGCCUCCCAGGCGGCCUCUCUUUGGCUGAGCUCCAUCUCAAAUAGCAUGACCUCCACCUCUAGUAGCUUGACCCCCGCCUCUAGCUUGCUGAGCGGGCGGUGGAGCAACUGGUGCCGGAACCAUGGAACAAGAACUCUAUUAUGGCAUCCUGCCCUGUGACCUAGGGAAAAACCUCGUGACGUGCUUCAGAUCUCCACAAGUAUAACAAAUUCUCGGCUACUGUGACUGCUGACCCUAGAACUGACCCUGUCGACCUGAAUAACCACCGUGAUAGCUCUAGAUCGGAGGUACACUGAUAGGACUUGAAGGUGCACUGUAGGCUAGCUGCUCAAGACGAUACCCAUAAGGACCACGACUGCCUGAAGCACAAUGGGAUGUUUGGAAUGCUGACUGAACUGACUUGGGAGGGUGGCCUCUACCAAAAGAACCUCUGCCUUCAGAUGAGGGACCACUGAAACCACCAAAAUAACGAGGCCUUUUCUCAGAUAUCAGCUUCCCUACCCUGACCACAAAUCAUCUUGGUCCGUCUAGCAUUCUCUACGGCCCUCUGGAAAGAAAUAUCAUCCCCGGUCUCCUUGGCCCUCUGUAGUCUGAUACCAAAAGCAAGACCAUCAAUGAAUCUCCUCCCUCUCUCCCUCUCAGUAGGAAGUAAGACAACUGCAUGGCGAGCUAAAUUCACGAAUCUGGUCUCAUAUUGGGUAACAGUCAUGCCACCCUGCUGAAGGUGCUCAAAAUGCUGGCGGUACUUCUCUCUCAGAGUGUAAGGAAUGAACUUCUCCAAAAAUAGUUACGAAAACUGAUCCCAAGUGAGUUGCGGCAAACCAGUUGGUCUGCUCCGCUCAUAAUCCUGCCACCAUCUCUUGGCAGAAUCGGUCAUCUGAAACACUGCAAAGUCAACUCCAUCGGACUCCACAAUACCCAUGUUGCCCAACACCUUAUGGCAACGGUCAAUGAAAUCCUAUGGGUCCUCAGAAGGUGUGCAACCAAAGCGAAUACGAAAUAAAUUUGUAAACUUGUCCAAUCUCAUCAACCCCUCAAAAGACAUCGUGGACCUCUCCCCGGCCUGUGUAGCAAAAAUAGGGUCAUCCACCCUAACUGGCAGAACUACCGAUUUCUGAUAUCCGUGAGUCAUCUGCUCUGGUGUGUGAGUAGUGGGAGUCUAUGCUCCUCGCCUAGCCUGAGAGACAUCUGGUGCUAUCGAAAAUGCACCGGUAUGGGUCACACUCUCCAUGAGGCCCACUAAGCAGACUAGGGAGUCCUGAAGUACUGAGGUAGCAAUAAAUCCAUCGGGGACCUGAGCUGAUCUAACUGGCAUGGUCUAAACAAGAACCUCCUCCUACUGCUCGAUCUGAGGCUGUGGAAUAGGUGUGACUGCACGUGCUCUAGGCUGAGCUCUACCUGUGCCUCUGACUCUGGCUCGACUUCGGCACCGGCCUUUACCCUGGUAAUGGCAGCAACUACGGGCUCCGGCUCUUAACCCGCCGUGGAUAUUGUGCGUGUCCUCACCAUCUGUGAGAGAACAACAAUGGGAUGAUUCAAACUUCAAUGAUAGAAUAAAAUUGCACGAUAGAGAAAGAAAGAAGUGAAUUUUUCCUAAAGCUCUAUAGCCUCUAGAAGAUAAGUACAGACGUCUCCAUACCGAUCCUCCAAACUCUACUCAGCUUGCUCAUGACUCGUGAGACCUAAGCAGCCUAGUGCUCUGAUACCAACUUGUAACGAUCCGGAUUCCCAACAUCAGGGUCGUAAUGGCAACUAACGUCUACUUGCUAGGAAAGCCAACAUUAGAUAACUAGUUUAACAUCUUAACCGUUUAAAGUAGAGUAAUAAUAGUUAUUAACGAUAAAUAAGCGAUAAUACAUGAAAUAAACCCAUAACAUAACACGAUCUAUUCUAAUCCCAGAAAUCUGGAGUCACCAGUACAUGAGCAACUAGAAUACUACAAGUAUGGUUUGAACGAAAUACAACUAUUCAAAACGAAAUAAACAUUAUAGAUAGAAAUAGAUGGGGACUUCAGGAACUGCGAACUCUAGCAGCUCUACCUCAAGUGUCUAAUGUAGAUAUGAUUCGAGUAGAAGCACCACUAGACACCACUGAGACCAACACCAGUAUCUGCACAAGAAGUGCAAAAGUGUAGCAUGAGUACAACCGACCCAAUGUACUUCGUAAGUGCCGAGUCUAACCCCGAUGAUGUAGUGACGAGGCUAUGUUAAGACACCUAUGUAAAUCAUGUACAGGUAUAUAGAUAAAGAUACAAAAUAACAGGACAAUUAAAAUAUUAAAUAGGAAGGAACAUGUAGAAAGGGGAGUAUGAUAAGAACGAAGGUAGGAAGCAAAUAAGGCACGACAACACCCUUCGAGCUUUUCACUCUUCCUCACCAAGCAACACUAAUCCAAAACAGCAAAACAAGGUAGGAAGCAAUUUCACUUCAAUCAUAGUGUAAUGAUAAUUAAACUCAACUUUCAAAAAUCCCAACAACUUCUUCAAAAUAAACAAUAGAUAUGAAACCGAACAAUUGAAAAAGUAAUAAUCUAACUACGACAUGGAAAGCAUAGUCAUUGAAACAACAUAGUACAAUAAAACAAUUUUCACCCACAUGCUUUAUCCCAAUAACGACGCAUAUAUUAGACCUUACAUAUACGUCGUCCAUACAUAUAAUUCACGUAGCAAAUAGACCAAGAAGUCCUAAUUUCCAUAAGUCAAGGUUAACCACAAUAUUUACCUCACUCCGCAACAAAGUUAAUCAACCAACCAUGGCCUUGCCUACUGAACAAGCCUCCAAACCAACCAAAUCUAACCAAUUGUCGAUCAAACAAUUCAAAAUAAGCUUUAGACACUAUUCACGAAGGGAAAAGGUUCAAUCUUUGAAGAAUUUUAAAAAGGCAACCCUAGGCCUGCUUGGUUAAAACCCGAGAUUCAGACCAAAAACCGGUUACCCAUUAACCCCCGAGCCUAGUUAAGUGAUUUGUUUUGAAAUCCAACCUCAAUUUCAGAUCUAAAUCUCAAUAUUUACAAAAUUUCCAAUUUCUACCCAAAUUCCUAAUUUCUACCAUGAAAAUCCUAGAUUUGAUAUUGAAAACACAUGAAAAGUAUUGGGUAAUUGAAAGAAAAUAGAUUAAAGUUGCAUACCAAUGAAUUUGGGAAGAAGAAACUCUUGAAAAAACACUUCUAGAGAGUUUAGGGUUGAGAAAUGGUAUAAAAUGGGCUAAGUCCCGAUUUCCCCCUCUUUUACCCAGAUGCGGAUGUCGCAAUUGCAAUUUCUUGUUCUCAAUUGCGACCAUCGCAAUUGCAAGAAAGAGGUCGCAAAUACGAACUGUGCCCCCAGCAUACUUUAGUCGCAAUUGCAACAAAACCAUCACAAAUGCUAUGUCGCAUCAAACCAAAAAAAGCGAACAAAGGUUCGCAUUUGCGAACCUGCCAAAGCCUAGUGCUCAGUCGCAAAUGCGACCAAGCCAUCGCAAAAGAUAAGUCUGGGAAUUCCGCAAUUGCGAACAUUUCUUCAUAAAUAUGAAAACUACCCUGCCCAGUCCCCUAUCGCAAUUGCGAGCUCAACUUCACAUAAGCGGAGUUUGCAUUUGGGAAGAGUUCAUCGCAAAUGUGAGACCUACAGCCCAAUACUAAAACUGAAGCACACCAGUAAGUGCCAACGGUCAAGUAAAGUCAACUAACAAGGUGAUAAUUUAAAACCUCAAAAACAAAUUAGAGGAUGCUAAAGGCAGUUGGCCAGAAGAGCUGCUGGGAGUAUUAUGGGCAUAUCGAACAACAAAAUCGAGCACAGUAGCAACGCCUUUUUCCCUUGUUUAUGGUACGGAAGCUUUGAUUCCGGUGGAGAUAGGUAAACUGAACAUGAGGUAUUCCAUGGCAAACAAGCAGGGGAAUGAUGAAGCAAUGUUGAUUAUGUUGGACUUGCUUGAGGAGCAUUGGAACUUGUCUUAUGUAUGAAUGGCAGCACAGAAGCAGAGGAUGAGAAGAUACUACAAUCGUAGAGUAAAUCUUUACUAUUUUAAAAUUGGAGAUUUGGUUUUAUGAAAGAUAACUCAUAAUACCCGGGAAGUCAAUGAUGGGAAGUUGGAACCGACCUGGGAAGGACAUUACCAGAUUUAGGUUAGCCUGUAAAUUCAAAGGUUAGAGUUGCAAAAGAUGAUUGUUAGCAAGUGUAAAGGUAAAAGAGAAGAAUGAGAUGAUACCUGAGCAACAAGAUGUAUGUUGUUGUUGAUUAAAUAUUCCGCGGAGAGACCGUACAUUUUUCUCCAGUCCUUAUCCGAAGCCAUAGGAUUCAAGAAGUUGGCUACUCUCACUGACGUGGAAAGCAAAUGGCAUUUAUUCAAAACAAAAAAGGUAACACUGCAUUUACCGUUAAGGUUCCAGAUGAAUGUCAGGAAGGCAUUUUCUAUGUUCCCUAGAUCAGGUGAUAAGGGGGAACACACAUCUUCCUCUUGUUCGGUUGGAACUAGUGGCGAGGCAGAGCUGGUGAUACAAGAGCUGGAGAUGGAAUAGAAGUUGAAGGAGCAUCAGAAGAGGAACCCUUCUAACCAAAGGCAAUAACUGGGGCCCGAAAGCGGGAUUCAACAUUCUCAACCAAGUCGAACUCAGUAAAGAAUCCUUCUACAUCCUCCGGUUGAGCUGAGGGAGUUCUUCUUUUUCUUCUUCUCUGAAGAGAAACCAUCAUCAUCUUCAAUAUCAUCUUUGUCAAGGACCACCGUGGCUGAUCCUUCUGGGAUCUCUUCUGUUACUGGAGGCUACUCCUUAGACCCAACCUUAUAAGUAUGCUUUCUUUUCGAUUUUUCCCUUGGGUUGGGGACUCAGAGAAGAUAUGCCUUCACCGGAAGCAAGAGAGGCAUCACGAGCCCUCUUCCAGUCAAGGUCCUCUUGAAUCCGUUGUUGGGCCACCUUCGGGUCAUGUGAAACAAUGAUGAUGGGACAAAUAGAAGAUCCAUCAGAAGGCCUACAUGUUGUUGAAAGAGGUCAAAAAUUAUCUAUUGCAUAGAGUUAAAAGUUAAUAAAGGAAUGGGGAAUUUUCUCUUACCAUGGUUCUUCGCCUUCUAGUUGAGCCUAAUUGAAAUUUCCUUCCACUUACGGGAGUCCGGUGUGAAAGUAUCUAGAAUUUGUUUGAACCCAUAGUGUUAGGUUCUCAUCUGCUGGAGGUACCCUACGGGUGGCUAAAAUGAGAGAAAAUGAAGUUUAGCAAGAGGGGAAUUUCCUUUAACAAAGUAAAAGAUGAAUAUUAAGAAAGUUUAGAGUGUAGUUUCAGGAUUUAGGAAUAGGAGAUGCAGACGCCGAUAAAAUAUCCCCGGGAGUGACAACAACAAACCUCUCCAUCCAACCACAUUCAUUAUCGUCAUCAACACUGGCGACGAUGGCAUCGUGAUCGUGUUUGCUGAGUUUGAUCAUGCCUCAACGGAAAAUCAUAGGGGCAUACAGGUUGAUCAUAUGAGCAAGUGUAACGGUUUCCUGAGCCCGGGAAUACAGGAAUCGAGAGGCAAGCCACCAUGUGCCAUAUUGCCGGUCCUACUUGAGCCAAACAAACAUGGUAGUUCCAGCAAAACUCCAAGAUGAUUGGGUCUAUUUCCUUGUCAAGUCCUAAAGUGAAAUGGUACGUGUAAACGUAAAUGUACCCUGGUUUGCUGAAAGUAAUCCUCUCCACUUCACUAGGGGCUGAAACCUCAAUAUUCUUCUAGUUACAAUCCUCUUCUACGACAGGUAUACUGACCGGACGAAUAGAAGAGGAAUAUUCACCAAUAACUAUAUUUUUGUCGUUGCCGGGGUCAGAAGAUUCCUUUUGAACAUCAAUAUCCAUUUUGCAAGAAAACUAAAAAGGAUGAUCAUGUUAGUAGAGGGAGAAACGACAUCGGGUUUCUUAGACUUGUUCUUCUUGGAUGGACCACGGCUGAAGCAAGUCCCUUUGUAAUCGGGGGGAAGAAAUAGCAGAAGACAUAGUGAUAGAAAGUAUGAAUUUGUAAAUUUUUACUAAAAAAAGGUGAGUUGCAGAAAAGCUGUAUGAAGACUCUAAGAAGAAAGCUUGUAAAAGUAAAAGAUGAAAGUGGUGAAAAGGGAAGAAGUUUAUAGGCGACAGAAUGCAAGGCCAUCAUUACCUAGGUAACUGGCAAACAUAAUUGUCGAAUCACGAGACAACACAUGUUCGAGUCAUUAAAAUCAAAGAGACGUGCGUCCUUUCAAAUGUUAGAAACCGUUCAAAAACUUUCCCGUAAAGAAAAAAGGUCUUAUUUAUUUCCCGAUCACAUCAAGUUGAGUCACCGAAAAGUAGGGAGAUUAUCUAUACGUAAAAUUAAUGAAUAACAGGUGGAUGUUCGUCGAGUUGACAUGUGGCAAUAAGGACAGGUAGGAUAUGAGUCAGCAAAUCGCUGACACUGGUUACAAGUAUGUGACCGAUAUUGUAUGAGUUCCGAAAAUAUCAAAACUGAAGGGAAGAAUUCGAAAGCAAGGUGCCGAUUAAAGAAGGCACCAUUAAAGGAGCAGCCUUUACAGAGAAUCCUAGCAUUUACACUCAACCGUUAUGCGGCUAUCAAGAGAGGUCUUUAUUUACCUUAAAAAGGAGCUUGAUUUGUGAAUUUUGUCUCCCCUAAUUUAGUUAUAAAUAUAGAAAUUUGUAGUCAUUUGAGGACCAAAAUACUUGUAUGAAAAAGGUUAAUAUUAUUCUCUUAUUUUGCUAAACAUUGUUCUAUUAGAAUUUAGUUCUUGAUAUUGUUCUUGUUUUCAGAGAAGUUCAAUUCAAGGCCCAGGCUUGUCUUUUAUUUAAGUAAUUUUAUUUUAUUCAAUUUUGUUCUUCAUUACUUUAUAUUCUUGUAUCAAUUUAAUUCACGUGUCUAUAAACCAUUUUACGAAUUCAACUGUACCGUUUUAUGGGUAAACAACUGGAACUUAAAAAACAAAAAAAAUCUGGAAUGACAAAAUACUACCCGAAGACAAAGACAAUGGGUGCUUAAGCACCCACGCUACUAAAUGUGAAUCCGCCCUCACUAAUACGAAGAGAAUAUGGACGUUAGAUUCCAAUCAUUUUCAACAUACAUGACGAGUAGAAUGGUACAACUGCACUAACACGGAAGUACAAUUUAUUACAGAUUUAUUUAGGUAGAUAGGUAAAAUAGCUAUAUAUAGGAGGAAGAAUUUUUUUCAUCCAUGGGUUUAACUUUUGUUUUUCCUGUAAUUAAACCAUCAACCUAGUCUUUCACCUCCUAUGGGGGGUAUGGGGGGAAGAGGGAAUUUGGGGUUUGGCAUGAACCUUACCUUAUUUAUUAAUAGCAAAAGAAAACUUAAUUAGCUCAGUUGGGGCGGAGGAUAUUAAGGAGAGAUUCACCCAAGGAUGGGCAGCAUCUGUUGAUGCAGCAAUCUGCAUAGAGAGGCCUAACAUUGCAGUAAGAGCAGCUGUUGGAGCAAAACUCAGAGCAAGACUCUGCAUUUCCAGUGUAGAAACAGACUACCAUGAGUACUAUUAUCAUCCAAAUUAUAACUAAAACAUUGUUAUUUUUCUUCACCAUGGCUCUCUCUCUCCCUCUAUAUUUCAC